rnacentral:tRNA from 1 species
GGGGAUAUAGCUCAGUUGGUAGAGUGCUUGCCUAACAUGUAUGAGGCCCUGGAUUCAAUCCCCAGUACCA